rnacentral:tRNA from 1 species
CGGGAUGUAGCGCAGCUCGGUAGCGCGUUCCGUUCGGGACGGAGAGGUCGCAGGUUCAAAUCCUGUCAUCCCGACCA